UUGACACAUUGGAAAAUUACCUCAGAAAACAUAGAUUUUGUACUGAAUGUAAAUCAAAAGUUUUGAGGGCAUACAGUAUUCUGGCAGGAGAUUUGGAUGGACCAAGUGAAAAGGGUUACUGUGCUACUUUGUAUGAUGGUCUUAAAAGCUGUCCUCAAGACCGGCAUGUCCAUGUACUGUGUG